rnacentral:rRNA from 1 species
CAAGUAAUUAAGUGCAUGUGGUGGAUGCCUUGGCAGUCAGAGGCGAUGAAAGACGUGAUAGCCUGCGAAAAGCUCCGGGGAGGCGGCAAAUAUCCUUUGAUCCGGAGAUGUCUGAAUGGGGGAACCCACCUACUUUAAGGUAGGUAUUGCAACAUGAAUACAUAGUGUUGCAAGGCGAACGAGGGGAAGUGAAACAUCUCAGUACCCUUAGGAAAAGAAAUCAAUUGAGAUUCCCUCAGUAGCGGCGAGCGAACGGGGAUCAGCCCAUUAAGUUAUGUGUGUUUUAGUGGAACGCUCUGGGAAGUGCGAACGUAGAGGGUGAUAUUCCCGUACACGAAAGGGCACACAUAAUGAUGACGAGUAGGGCGAGGCACGUGAAACCUUGUCUGAAUAUGGGGGGACCAUCCUCCAAGGCUAAAUACUCCUGACUGACCGAUAGUGAACCAGUACCGUGAGGGAAAGGCGAAAAGAACCCCUGUGAGGGGAGUGAAAUAGAUCCUGAAACCGCAUGCAUACAAGCAGUGGGAGCACCUUCGUGGUGUGACUGCGUACCUUUUGUAUAAUGGGUCAGCGACUUAUAUUCAGUAGCGAGGUUAACCGUAUAGGGGAGCCGUAGAGAAAUCGAGUCUUAAUAGGGCGUUUAGUUGCUGGGUAUAGACCCGAAACCAGGCGAUCUAUCCAUGAGCAGGUUGAAGGUUGGGUAACACUAACUGGAGGACCGAACCCACUGUCGUUGAAAAGCCAGGGGAUGACUUGUGGAUAGGGGUGAAAGGCUAAUCAAGCCUGGUGAUAGCUGGUUCUCCCCGAAAGCUAUUUAGGUAGCGCCUCGGACGAAUACCAUAGGGGGUAGAGCACUGUUUCGGCUAGGGGGUCAUCCCGACUUACCAAACCGAUGCAAACUCCGAAUACCUAUGAGUACUAUCCGGGAGACAGACUGCGGGUGCUAACGUCCGUAGUCAAGAGGAAAACAAUCCAGACCGCCAGCUAAGGCCCCAAAAUCAUAGUUAAGUGGGAAACGAUGUGGGAAGGCAUAGACAGCUAGGAGGUUGGCUUAGAAGCAGCCACCCUUUAAAGAAAGCGUAAUAGCUCACUAGUCGAGUCGGCCUGCGCGGAAGAUGUAACGGGGCUAAAACUAUGUGCCGAAGCUGCGGAUGUAUACUUUGUAUACGUGGUAGGGGAGCGUUCUGUAAGCCGAUGAAGGUGUGUUGAGAAGCAUGCUGGAGGUAUCAGAAGUGCGAAUGCUGACGUGAGUAACGACAAAACGGGUGAAAAACCCGUUCGCCGAAAGACCAAGGGUUCCAGUCCAACGUUAAUCGGGGCUGGGUGAGUCGACCCCUAAGGCGAGGCCGAAAGGCGUAGUCGAUGGGAAAAUGGUUAAUAUUCCAUUACUUCUGUGUAAUGCGAUGAGAGGACGGAGAAGGCUAAAUCAGCCUGGCGUUGGUUGUCCAGGUGAAAGGAUGUAGGCAUGUAUCUUAGGCAAAUCCGGGGUACUCUAUGCUGAGAUCUGAUAGCAAGCUGUACUUGUACAGCGAAGUGGUUGAUGCCAUGCUUCCAGGAAAAGUCUCUAAGCUUCAGUUACACAGGAAUCGUACCCGAAACCGACACAGGUGGUCAGGUCGAGUAGACCAAGGCGCUUGAGAGAACUCUGCUGAAGGAACUAGGCAAAAUGGUACCGUAACUUCGGGAGAAGGUACGCUGUUGUUGGUGAUGGAACUCGCUUCCUGAGCUGACGACAGCCGCAGAAACCAGGCCGCUGCAACUGUUUAUUAAAAACAUAGCACUCUGCAAACACGAAAGUGGACGUAUAGGGUGUGAUGCCUGCCCGGUGCUGGAAGGUUAAUUGAUGGGGUUAGCGUAAGCGAAGCUCUUGAUCGAAGCCCCAGUAAACGGCGGCCGUAACUAUAACGGUCCUAAGGUAGCGAAAUUCCUUGUCGGGUAAGUUCCGACCUGCACGAAUGGCAUAAUGAUGGCGGCGCUGUCUCCAGCAGAGGCUCAGUGAAAUCGAAAUCGCUGUGAAGAUGCAGUGUACCCGCGGCUAGACGGAAAGACCCCGUGAACCUUUACUGCAGCUUGACACUGAACUUUGACCUUACUUGUGUAGGAUAGGUGGGAGGCUUUGAAGCUGGAACGCUAGUUCCAGUGGAGCCGUCCUUGAAAUACCACCCUGGUAAUGUUGAGGUUCUAACUCUGUCCCGUGAUCCGGGACGAGGACCGUGUCUGGUGGGUAGUUUGACUGGGGCGGUCUCCUCCUAAAGAGUAACGGAGGAGUACGAAGGUGCGCUCAGCGUGGUCGGAAAUCACGCGUAGAGUAUAAAGGCAAAAGCGCGCUUAACUGCGAGACCCACAAGUCGAGCAGGUACGAAAGUAGGUCUUAGUGAUCCGGUGGUUCUGUAUGGAAGGGCCAUCGCUCAACGGAUAAAAGGUACUCUGGGGAUAACAGGCUGAUACCGCCCAAGAGUUCAUAUCGACGGCGGUGUUUGGCACCUCGAUGUCGGCUCAUCUCAUCCUGGGGCUGAAGCAGGUCCCAAGGGUAUGGCUGUUCGCCAUUUAAAGAGGUACGCGAGCUGGGUUUAGAACGUCGUGAGACAGUUCGGUCCCUAUCUACCGUGGGCGCUGGAAAUUUGAGAGGAUCUGCUCCUAGUACGAGAGGACCAGAGUGGACGAACCUCUGGUGUACCGGUUGUGACGCCAGUUGCAUCGCCGGGUAGCUAUGUUCGGAAGGGAUAACCGCUGAAAGCAUCUAAGCGGGAAGCCUACCUCAAGAUAAGAUUUCCCUAGGACUUUAUGUCCUCUAAAGAGCCGUUCGAGACUAGGACGUUGAUAGGUUGGAUGUGGAAGCAUAGUGAUAUGUGAAGCUGACCAAUACUAAUUGCUCGUGAGGCUUGACUA